UGCGUAGGGGGCUAGCGUUGUCCGGAAUCAUUGGGCGUAAAGCGCGCGUAGGCGGCCCGGUAAGUCCGUUGUGAAAGUCAAAGGCUCAACCUUUGAAAGCCGAUGGAUACUGCCGGGCUGGAGUCCGGAAGAGGCGAGUGGAAUUCCUGGUGUAGCGGUGGAAUGCGCAGAUAUCAGGAGGAACACCAAUAGCGAAGGCAGCUCGCUGGGACGGUACUGACGCUGAGGCGCGAAAGCGUGGGGAGCGAACAGG
rnacentral:rRNA from 1 species